AAAACAAGAAAAUGAAUAUCCUGCAUCACAUUUGAUGCACACAAUCUCACAAUUCAAUCAUAAUCAUCUUAAGUAUCUUUUCAAGCACAAGCAAUGAAUAAGAUGAAUGAUAAAGAUUGAAAAGAGUUUUAAAAGUCUAAGGGAACUUCCCUUGUGUUUUUGUGAGUUUCCAAACUCGGCCAAUGCACCAUCUUCAUGGCAUCAUCAACUUCUUGGAAAGGCAGAAUGGAUUCAUCAGCUUCUCCUCAAUCACCUCUCAUUGAAGCCGCAUUGAUGGAGAGCCUUCCUCCUCACUCGCCAAGGCUGCUCUGAACAGCCUCUUGCCUAGACACGCCACUGACUUGGUCCGGUUGAUGAUCC
rnacentral:lncRNA from 1 species